rnacentral:lncRNA from 1 species
UCUGAAAAAGGCAACUUCAUUAUUUCCUGAAAUAUUAUAAAGACUUAGACCACAGAAACACCUGUGGACAUUGACCCAGAAAGCAGAGCCAAAAGUCAUCUCUAAGUUUGGAAACUGAGCCUGUGUAACUAGAGGAUGGUCCCGUGACACAUUGGCACUAAUGGUGAGUAGCCUCCUCUCUCCUACAACUGAGAUCCUAUCUGUGCCAGCAGGCCCUGCCUCUUGCUCUGGGAUUUCCCUACUGCUGUCCUGAUGUCUUCACCCCACUUCCUUAAUGUGACAGUUUACCAUCGGAGAUUCUCAAAACUCCUCCACAUUCUACAGCUACAACCCCGGGAAAAGACCGAAAGAGAAAAGGGCCUUUGGCUGCCGUCUGCAUGUGGCUUUAAUUUUGUUCCAGCAGGUUUUGCUUGUGAACUUAUGAACUGUGAGCAUCUGGGCUGAUGGCCCAAGGAAACAGCUUAUCAUUAAUCUAUACGAUGAGUAUCUCCGAGUCAAUUGCUUUCUCUGAUCCCUGUCCAUGAAACUGGCAAGAAUGUGUGUGCUAUCAACAUUCCACGCAAGGGAAGGGGAGCUGAGUACAGAGGCAGAAAGCAGCAACAUUUCUUCAGCAGCUAAUCUAGCUCCCUCAUCUAAAGUCACAGAGGUCCCAAGGCAAGAAAGAAAGAAAUGGGCAUGCCUGCAAGGUGACAACGGGCUCCCACAGACAGCUCCUCAUGGAGAAGCCAGUAUAAAGAAUGAAGGAGAGGACAAUGAGCCAGCUUUGAGGAACGGUCGUGAACAGACUCAGCCAUACCCACAUGUACAAACGAGACACACAACGACUUGUCACUGGCCACGUGGAUGUUAUGACUGCCAGCGUGCAAACAUGGCAACGCACACUCCGAGAAGUUCAGACAAAAUCGCUUGGUUCGUGGAAUGCACAGACAGAAGGGUACACAUAUAUGGGCACGGAGAUGAUGGCGGCCUUCUCCUUUCCUGAAAUGAGAUCCCUGAAACUGAUAAAGGAAAGAGUACUUGGUGGAGCAUUGCUUCGGAUGUAGGCAAGCAGAGACUGGGACAGCCCACUACAAGGUGUCAGGAAAUGACUCCUUGGGCACUCCCCUGCACAGGACUCUGCCAGGAAGCAGCUAUGUCUACAAAUGGGACAUCAAGGGCAUUGUCCUCUGAAACCAGCUACAACAUGCUGACAGAAGGAGCCUUCGGGACUGCACGGCUGACUCAACUCUCCCUUUCCCAGCGACCCUUUUCCUUGUGAUAAGUUGCACAGUGGUGGUGGUCACAAACCUCAGGGAUGGGACAGCAGUAGUUGCCAGGGUGGUGGGCACUGUUUGGUUUCCCGUGGCAGGGAAGCUUGGCACAUGAGCUUUGUUGAAUACUUGUCUCCCUGGGAAAUUAGAUGGCUACAUGGGGCACCUGCCAACUGGGAGUCACAGUGUUGGUCUCUCCUGGUUUGUGUGAAGCAGGGCUGAGGAGGACUGGGUGGAUGGGCUCCUGCUGCAGCCUAAGGGAGGUGCUGCGGCUGAAUAGAUCCCCAGAGUCAUACCCUACUUCUCGGGAGAAAGACUGGGAGAGGCUGUGCAAAGAGCUGUGGGUAUACUUGGAAAGCCAAAUCCCUGACAUCUCUGGAGGACCAAGCUAGCCUGGCCAGGCUGCCCACCAUGUACAGCUGUGGUCCAGAUGCUAAGGAGAGUGGGCGUUAGAGUGAAGCCCAGGUAGGCAAUCCCAGGGCUAGGGAAGGGCCAACAGAGGAGCAGGGCCAAAAACAGGGCAGGUAGGCUCUCUCUCAGGGGAAAAUGGAAAGCCAAUCACUUAACAGCUGCAAAACGGCAGUGCACAUUUCCUAUCAGUUUCUUUCUCUUCGCAAUGUAAGGCAACAAAUGAUUAAAAACUCAGGCGGUUGGACAUUUCCUGUACUGCCCACCACUCCCCAGGGUGGUGUGGUGAUGUGGAUAACUACAUGCACAAACACGCAAGUGGGUGUGUAGUGUUUGGCUUCCUGAAGCAGAAUAAAGUGAGGCCCCUAGGAUCUAUGAGGUGGUAGACCAGAAGUCCAGGCGGGUGUGGUACUGGGCCACAGGCAGGGACCAGUUGUAAGGCGAGGCUCCCAAGGACACACAGCAGCUACACUUUGGUUUACAGCUGUCACAGAAACUCCAGGGAACAGCUUCUUCAGAAGUCCCAUCUAUUAAAGUCAGAUGCCAACAGUCACUUGUUGGGGUGGGCAUCUCC